rnacentral:rRNA from 1 species
AGUGAACGCUGGCGGUAGGCCUAACACAUGCAAGUCGAACGGCAGCACAGUAAGAGCUUGCUCUUACGGGUGGCGAGUGGCGGACGGGUGAGGAAUACAUCGGAAUCUACUUUUUCGUGGGGGAUAACGUAGGGAAACUUACGCUAAUACCGCAUACGACCUACGGGUGAAAGCAGGGGAUCUUCGGACCUUGCGCGAUUGAAUGAGCCGAUGUCGGAUUAGCUAGUUGGCGGGGUAAAGGCCCACCAAGGCGACGAUCCGUAGCUGGUCUGAGAGGAUGAUCAGCCACACUGGAGCUGAGACACGGUCCAGACUCCUACGGGAGGCAGCAGUGGGGGAUAUUGGACAAUGGGCGCAAGCCUGAUCCAGCCAUACCGCGUGGGUGAAGAAGGCCUUCGGGUUGUAAAGCCCUUUUGUUGGGAAAGAAAAGCAGCAGGUUAAUACCCCGCUGUUCUGACGGUACCCAAAGAAUAAGCACCGGCUAACUUCGUG